AUUUGGAAUUUUUGUUCUGAAUGAAAACAUGCUGUUAAGUAGGACAGGGGAAGGAGACUGAAACUGUGUACUGUGUUAUAUUCUAUCAUGUGCCUCCAAUCCAUGAGGUCAUUCUGUUUUGCUCCAGAUUUAACAACAGUAUUGGCGCUUUAAAAUUUUUAACCCCAGUAAUGAGUAUUUUUUUUUUUUUUUUUUUUUUUU
rnacentral:misc_RNA from 1 species